rnacentral:rRNA from 1 species
ACUCCUACGGGAGGCAGCAGUGGGGAAUAUUGCACAAUGGGCGCAAGCCUGAUGCAGCCAUGCCGCGUGUAUGAAGAAGGCCUUCGGGUUGUAAAGUACUUUCAGCAGUGAGGAAGGCAGGUACGUUAAUAGCGUGCUUGUUUGACGUUAGCUGCAGAAGAAGCACCGGCUAACUCCGUGCCAGCAGCCGCGGUAAUACGGAGGGUGCGAGCGUUAAUCGGAAUUACUGGGCGUAAAGCGCAUGCAGGUGGUUUGUUAAGUCAGAUGUGAAAGCCCGGGGCUCAACCUCGGAAUUGCAUUUGAAACUGGCAGACUAGAGUACUGUAGAGGGGGGUAGAAUUUCAGGUGUAGCGGUGAAAUGCGUAGAGAUCUGAAGGAUACCGGUGGCGAAGGCGGCCCCCUGGACAGAUACUGACACUCAGAUGCGAAAGCUGGGGAGCAAACAGGAUUAGAUACCCUGGUAGGAUAGCG